rnacentral:lncRNA from 1 species
ACUGCACCUCCAGACCAGACCUCAGAGUCGGGGCCACUGCACCUCCAGACCAGACCUCAGAGUCGGGGCCACUGCACCUCCAGACCAGAUCGCAGAGUCGGGGCCACUGCACCUCCAGACCAGACCUCAGGAUCGGGGCCACUGCACCUCCAGACCAGAUCGCAGAGUCGGGGCCACCGCACCUCCAGACCAGACCGCAGGGUUGGGGCCACCGCACCUCCAGACCAGAUCACAGAGUCGGGGCCACUGCACCUCCAGACCAGACCGCAGGGUCGGGGCCACCGCACCUCCAGACCAGAACUCAGAGUCGGUGCUACCGCAGAGUCAGGGCCACUGCAUCUCCAGACCAGAUCGCAGAGUCAGGGAGCCAUCGUAUGGGGCUCCCCAUGAAGCGCUGCCUUCAGAUGGGGCAUCUGUGGAGGGACUUGUGUAAGUGGACUGUGUUUAGUGAGAGAGAGAAGCUGGUUUCUAAAAAGGAUUUUUUUGUUUUACUUUGGAAUAUUUUACUGUGGACCAAGGAGAAAUGAUUAUUGUGCUUUUGAUGGUCAGUGAUACAUAAGGAGA